GACGAACGCUGGCGGCGUGCUUAACACAUGCAAGUCGAACGGAAAGGCCCUGCUUUUGUGGGGUGCUCGAGUGGCGAACGGGUGAGUAACACGUGAGUAACCUGCCCUUGACUUUGGGAUAACUUCAGGAAACUGGGGCUAAUACCGGAUAGGAGCUCCUGCUGCAUGGUGGGGGUUGGAAAGUUUCGGCGGUUGGGGAUGGACUCGCGGCUUAUCAGCUUGUUGGUGGGGUAGUGGCUUACCAAGGCUUUGACGGGUAGCCGGCCUGAGAGGGUGACCGGCCACAUUGGGACUGAGAUACGGCCCAGACUCCUACGGGAGGCAGCAGUGGGGAAUAGUGCACAAUGGGCGGAAGCAUGAUGCAGCAACGCCGCGUGCGGGAUGACGGCCUUCGGGUUGUAAACCGCUUUCGCCUGUGACGAAGCGUGAGUGACGGUAAUGGGUAAAGAAGCACCGGCUAACUACGUG
rnacentral:rRNA from 1 species